rnacentral:rRNA from 1 species
AUUGAACGCUGGCGGCAGGCCUAACACAUGCAAGUCGAACGAGUGGCGGACGGGUGAGUAAUGUCUGGGAAACUGCCCGAUGGAGGGGGAUAACUACUGGAAACGGUAGCUAAUACCGCAUACCAUCGGAUGUGCCCAGAUGGGAUUAGCUAGUAGGUGGGGUAACGGCUCACCUAGGCGACGAUCCCUAUCUGGUCUGAGAGGAUGAACAGCACCACGGGAACGUGGACACGGUCCAGACUCCGACGGGAGGCAGCGGUGGGGAAUAUUGCACAAUGGGGGCAAGCCUGAUGCAGCCAGGCCGCGUGUAGGAAGAAGGCCUUCGGGUUGUAAAGUACUUUCAGCGGGGAGGCGUUACCCGCAGAAGAAGCACCGGCUAACUCCGUGCCAGCAGCCGCGGUAAUUC